AUGCCGCCGCGCCGCCGAGGAGCGUCCGGCUACCGCGGCGUCCGCCUGCAGCCCAACGGCAGCUACACCGCGGAGAUACGCUCCGGCGAACUCCGGCUCGCCCUCGGCACGUACGGGACGGCGCGACAGGAUGAACUUCCAAGAUGUGUACACGCUCGAGCAAGCGCUCAACCUCGCUCCUCUGCCUCGUCUGAACACGGCGGAAGACCGUGCGGAGCACGCCGAGCGGCAACGUCGCCUCCUCGUCGCCCAGGAGGACGAGCGGGUCAUGGCGGACUGGCGCCAGCGCCACCCGGAGGACGUCGCCUACGAGCAAGCCUACUGGGCAAGGCGCCGCGAGGAGGACACGCAAAGGCGCCGCGCGUUGCGGUUGGACAGGCAUCGGCGGAAGGCGUUGGCGAAUGCGCAGUCCGACCUCGUUGCAGCAGGUGGGCGGUCGUUCUUCACACCGAACGAUGA
rnacentral:rRNA from 1 species